rnacentral:antisense_RNA from 1 species
GCGGCCGCUGAGCGCAUCGGAGGGCGGGCGCGCCGAGGCACCGGGUGGGAGCGGAGCGUCUUCACUUCUGCGGGGACCUCGUUUGCCCCCACCUGAUGCAACCCAGAAAAUGGACUGCGAGUGUCUUGGGGCGGAGAAUGUGUCUUGCUACGUGUAAAGCACCUAGAACCCUGCCAGAUUCAGGGGACACAGCAUCCUGCCGUUUUCCUGCCGUCCCCCGCCCGCCACACAGUAGGCGCUCCAGUGGCUCUGGGCAUCUACCAGGCAGGCCGCGCUGUCCUGCCCUGCCGGGGCUGGAGUAGAGCAACCUUCCGGGGCCACCCACAUCUGGGUACCUUUUCCCCACUUUUUCCACCCCAGCCGCGCACAGUCACCAGAAAACUCUUUUAGGUAUCUGACCUUCAUUUGAACCUAUGUUCCCUCACUUGAACUUCUUUUUCCUCAUUCAUGAGAUUCUAAAGGAAAUAUAUGGGAUUGGGAC